UACGAAGGGGGCUAGCGUUGCUCGGAAUUACUGGGCGUAAAGGGAGCGUAGGCGGACAUUUAAGUCAGAGGUGAAAUCCCGGAGCUUAACUUCGGAACUGCCUUUGAGUACUGGGUGUCUUGAGUGGUGAGAGAGGUAUGUGGAACUCCGAGUGUAGAGGUGAAAUUCGUAAGAUAUUCGGAAGAAACACCAGUGGCGAAGG
rnacentral:rRNA from 1 species